CUGCCACAAACAUGCUUCUCCAGACCCUGGGUCAGGCCAAGAAGCGUCCGAGCUCGAUACCCCUCUUUGUAUUUAUUGGAGCUGGAGGGACCAGAGCAGCACUGGAAGUCUUGUGUCUGGCAUUGUUCAAUCCAGAUGUUAGUUGGGACAGAAAGAAUAACCCAGAACCCUGGAACAAACUGGGUCCCACUGAUCAAUACAAGUUCUACUCAGUGAAUGCGGAUUACAGCACACUGAAGACAGAAGGUCCAGACUUCUAAACCACGUUUCACAAUUAAGCUGCUUA